GGAAAUCUGCCCUUGGGUUCGGAACACANUUGNAACGACUGCUAAUACCGGAUGAUGACUUCGGUCCNAAGAUUUAUCGCCCAGGGAUGAGCCCGCGUCGGAUUAGCUAGUUGGUGAGGUAAAAGCUCACCAAGGCGACGAUCCGUAGCUGGUCUGAGAGGAUGAUCAGCCACACUGGGACUGAGACACGGCCCAGACUCCUACGGGAGGCAGCAGUGGGGAAUAUUGGACAAUGGGCGAAAGCCUGAUCCAGCAAUGCCGCGUGAGUGAUGAAGGCCUUAGGGUUGUAAAGCUCUUUUACCCGGGAUGAUAAUGACAGUACCGGGAGAAUAAGCCCCGGCUAACUCCGUGCCAGCAGCCGCGGUAAUACGGAGGGGGCUAGCGUUGUUCGGAAUUACUGGGCGUAAAGCGCGCGUAGGCGGCUUUGUAAGUUAGAGGUGAAAGCCCGGAGCUCACUCCGGAACUGCCUUUUAGACUGCAUCGCUAGAACCGAUGGAGAGNUAAGUGGNAAUUNCCGAGUGUANAGUGAAAUUCNUAANAUUUCCGNAAAACCCCAGUGGCGAAGGCGACUUACUGGACAUCUGUUUGACCCUUAAGGUG
rnacentral:rRNA from 1 species